rnacentral:rRNA from 1 species
GUAAACGGCGGCCGUAACUAUAACGGUCCUAAGGUAGCGAAAUUCCUUGUCGGGUAAGUUCCGACCCGCACGAAUGGUGUAACGAUCUGGGCACUGUCUCAACUACCCACCCGGCGAAAUUGUAGUACCGGUGAAGAUGCCGGUUACCUGCGGCAAGACGGAAAGACCCCAUGGAGCUUUACUGUAGCCUGAUAUUGGGUUUCGGAAAUCUAUGUACAGGAUAGGCGGGAGACUGGGAAACAUGAGCGUCAGCUUGUGUGGAGUCGAUGUUGGGAUACCGCCCUUAGGUUUCUGGAAUUCUAACCUGCGGCCGUGAAUCCGGUCGGGGGACAUUGUCAGGUGGGCAGUUUGACUGGGGCGGUCGCCUCCGAAAAGGUAACGGAGGCGCUCAAAGGUUAGCUCAGCACGGACGGAAACCGUGCCUCUGAGUGUAAACGCAAAAGCUAGCCUAACUGCGAGGGUGACGGCCCGAGCAGUAACGAAAGUUGGAGUUAGUGAUCCGGCGGUAUGUGAAUGGAAAUGCCGUCGCUCAACGGAUAAAAGCUACCCUGGGGAUAACAGGCUGAUCUCCCCCAAGAGUCCACAUCGACGGGGAGGUUUGGCACCUCGAUGUCGGCUCAUCACAUCCUGGGGCUGUAUUCGGUCCCAAGGGUUCGGCUGUUCGCCGAUUAAAGUGGUACGCGAGCUGGGUUCAGAACGUCGCGAGACAGUUCGGUCCCUAUCUGUCGUGGGCGCAGGAUAUUUGAGGAGCUCUGUCCUUAGUACGAGAGGACCGGGAUGGACGUACCUCUGGUGCACCAGUUGUCAUGCCAAUGGCACGGCUGGGCAGCUAUGUACGGAACGGAUAAACGCUGAAAGCAUCUAAGCGUGAAGCCGACUCCAAGAUUAGAUAUCCCAUCGUAUAACGAGUAAGACCCCUUGAAGACUACGAGGUUGAUAGGCUGCGUGUGUAAGUGCCGUGAGGCAUUCAGCUUGGCAGUACUAAUAGGUCGAGGGCUUGACCAC